rnacentral:rRNA from 1 species
GUAGAGUGGCGAACGGGUUAGUAACGCGUGGGAACAUACACAGCACAGGGGGAUAACCAUUGGAAACGAUGGCUAAUACCGCAUACGCCCUAUUGGGGAAAGAUUUAUCGGUGUUGGAUUGGCCCGCGUUAGAUUAGCUAGUUGGUGGGGUAAUGGCUCACCAAGGCGGCGAUUUAUAGCUGGUUUGAGAGGAUGAUCAGCAACACUGGAACUGAGACACGGUCCAGACUCCUACGGGAGGCAGCAGUCGGGAAUAUUGUGCAAUGGGGGCAACCCUGACACAGCCAUGCCGCGUGAGUGAAGAAGGCCUUAGGGUUGUAAAGCUCUUUCAGAUGUGAGGAUGAUGACGAUAGCAUCAGAAGAAGCUCCGGCUAACUUCGUGCCAGCAGCCGCGGUAAUACGAAGGGAGCUAGCGUUGUUCGGAAUUACUGGGCGUAAAGGGCGUGUAGGCGGAUUAUCAAGUUAGGGGUGAAAUCCCGGGGCUCAACCUCGGCACUGCCUUUAAGACUGAUAAUCUAGAGUAUGUGAGGGGAUAAUGGAA